rnacentral:rRNA from 1 species
ACGCUGGCGGCAGGCCUAACACAUGCAAGUCGAGCGGUAGAGAGAAGCUUGCUUCUCUUGAGAGCGGCGGACGGGUGAGUAAUGCCUAGGAAUCUGCCUGGUAGUGGGGGAUAACGUUCGGAAACGGACGCUAAUACCGCAUACGUCCUACGGGAGAAGGCAGGGGACCUUCGGGCCUUGCGCUAUCAGAUGAGCCUAGGUCGGAUUAGCUAGCUGGUGGGGUAAUGGCUCACCAAGGCGACGAUCCGUAACUGGUCUGAGAGGAUGAUCAGUCACACUGGAACUGAGACACGGUCCAGACUCCUACGGGAGGCAGCAGUGGGGAAUAUUGGACAAUGGGCGAAAGCCUGAUCCAGCCAUGCCGCGUGUGUGAAGAAGGUCUUCGGAUUGUAAAGCACUUUAAGUUGGGAGGAAGGGUUGUAGAUUAAUACUCUGCAAUUUUGACGUUACCGACAGAAUAAGCACCGGCUAACUCUGUGCCAGCAGCCGCGGUAAUACAGAGGGUGCAAGCGUUAAUCGGAAUUACUGGGCGUAAAGCGCGCGUAGGUGGUUAGUUAAGUUGGAUGUGAAAUCCCCGGGCUCAACCUGGGAACUGCAUUCAAAACUGACUGACUAGAGUAUGGUAGAGGGUGGUGGAAUUUCCUGUGUAGCGGUGAAAUGCGUAGAUAUAGGAAGGAACACCAGUGGCGAAGGCGACCACCUGGACUGAUACUGACACUGAGGUGCGAGAGCGUGGGGAGCAAAC